rnacentral:rRNA from 1 species
CUACGGGUCGCAGCAGUCGAGAAUCUUCCGCAAUGGGCGCAAGCCUGACGGAGCAAUGCCGCGUGAGGGAUGACGGCCCUAGGGUUGUAAACCUCUGUCAGAAGGGACGAAGAACGUGACGGUACCUUCAGAGGAAGCCAUGGCUAACUACGUGCCAGCAGCCGCGGUAAUACGUAGAUGGCGAGCGUUAUUCGGAUUUACUGGGCGUAAAGGGUCCGUAGGGGGUCUGCCAAGUCUGAUGUGAAAUCCUGCGGCUCAACCGCGGAACUGCAUUGGAAACUGGCGGACUAGAGUGUGCGAGGGGUGAGCGGAAUUCCUGGUGUAGCGGUGGAAUGCGUAGAUAUCAGGAAGAACACCGAUGGCGAAGGCGGCUCACUGGCGCAUCACUGACCCUGAGGGACGAAAGCGUGGGUAGCAAACAGGAUUAGAUACCCUUGUAGUC